AGAACCUUACCAAGGCUUGACAUGGCCUCAAAAGCCGCAGAGAUGCGGUGUCCGCAAGGGGGGGUCACAGGUGGUGCAUGGCUGUCGUCAGCUCGUGUCGUGAGAUGUUGGGUUAAGUCCCGCAACGAGCGCAACCCUUGUCUCAUGUUGCCAGCGGGUAAUGCCGGGGACUCGUGAGAGACUGCCGGGGUCAACUCGGAGGAAGGUGGGGAUGACGUCAAGUCAUCAUGCCCCUUAUGUCCAGGGCUUCACACAUGCUACAAUGGCCGGUACAAAGGGCUGCGAUGCCGUAAGGUUAAGCGAAUCCUUUUAAAGCCGGUCUCAGUUCGGAUUGGGGUCUGCAACUCGACCCCAUGAAGUCGGAGUCGCUAGUAAUCGCAGAUCAGCAACGCUGCGGUGAAUACGUUCCCGGGCCUUGUCACACCGA
rnacentral:rRNA from 1 species